rnacentral:rRNA from 1 species
UACGUAGGGACCAAGCGUUGUUCGGAUUUACUGGGCGUAAAGGGCGCGUAGGCGGCGCGGAAAGUCAACGGAUGAAAGCUUGGGGCUCAACCCCGAGUCGGCCGUCGAUACUUCCGUGCUCGAGCACUGUAGAGGCAGGUGGAAUUCCGGGUGUAGCGGUGGAAUGCGUAGAGAUCCGGAAGAACACCGGUGGCGAAGGCGGCCUGCUGGGCAGUAGCUGACGCUGAUGCGCGACAGCGUGGGGAGCAAACAGG